UUUCAAUGCAAAGCCAAUUUUUACAUUACCCAAAACUAGGCCCUCUCUUGUGUUUCAAUUAUUAAGAAAGUGCUUUUUGUUUUGGGCAUUGUAUGUUUUGGGCACUCCAUUUAGAAAUCCACCUUCUCCAAGAAAAAGCACAAUUGUCUGUGGAAGAGCCGUUAGCUGACCAAUUUGAUAUCACCCAAAACUAAGCUCUCUCUUGUGUUCUCUUGAUGGUCAGAAAGUGCUUCCUGUUUUGGGCGUUAUCGAUUGGAGAAUUCAACUUUGCAGCAAUGGGAUGAUUUAUAUUUGUUUCAGACUGAUUAUGUAGCACCCAAAACGGGGCUCUCUCUUGUGACUGAAUUAUGAUGAGAAAGUGCUUUCUGUUUUGGGCGUUCUGGCCAUCAGAUAUACGACAUGGAAUUGGAUGUUGAGAGGCAGCUUGUGAAAAAAAGGCAUGGAGGCUUAUCAUCCGUGUCAGAAAUUUAUUAGUGGUGUUUAUGUGGGGAAUUACCUCUGGGAGCUGGAAAAAAGAAGUUGAGAAGGCCUUCUACUGGAUUGAUAAUGUGACAGAUACAUCUGAUUUUUCAAUGCAAAGCCAACUCUACAAAGCUGCAGAUAAUUUUAUUUAAUGUAUUAUUACUUUCUACUAUUUAACAUCUAAGAGUUUCCUCUGGUUGCUAGUUUCUACCCUGGAUAUCACUAAUGUUAAUUAGGAAGUCUGUCCCUUGCCCCACCCAGACAGGUGACUGCAAAACAAUAGUGUCCUAAUUAUAUGCAUACCGCUUGGCAAUUGAUUGGCUAAUGGUCUUCUAGGAUCUACAGAUAUAAGUGCCAGAUCUAGGGAAGGCAAUCCACAGUCUCCAGCAGAAAGCACUGAAGCUCCUCAAGUGACCUCUGCAAGAUGUUUCUUGUACACUCCAAUAUUACUCCAAUGGGUUUGGAGUCAAAUCUUCAAGGGCCUUGCAAAAAAAAUCCUCUGCAGAGUAAAAGAACCAACAGUGGAAAGGGACUGAAGAUUCCUACAGGCUGAUUAUGCAUCACCCAGAACAAGGCUCUCUUCUUUUGACCUUCAUGGAUGGAUCUACAGAUAUAAGUGCCAGAUCUAGGGAAGGCAAUCCACAGUCUCCAGCAGAAAGCACUGAAGCUCCUCAAGUGACCUCUGCAAGAUGUUUCUUGUACACUCCAAUAUUACUCCAAUGGGUUUGGAGUCAAAUCUUCAAGGGCCUUGCAAAAAAAAUCCUCUGCAGAGUAAAAGAACCAACAGUGGAAAGGGACUGAAGAUUCCUACAGGCUGAUUAUGCAUCACCCAGAACAAGGCUCUCUUCUUUUGACCUUCAUGGAUGGUGAGAAAGUGCUUUCUGUUUUGGGUGAUCUAUGUAUCAGAAAUACAUCAAAGGUUUUUAUAAGGGGAAUUGGUUCAGAUUAGAAAUGUAUCAUUUGGGUUUAUACGGGAAAUCAAUCCUAGAAAGUUGUGAAAGCCUUCCAAUGGAUUGAUAAUGUGUCAGAUACAACUGAUUUUCAAUGCAAAGCCAAUUUUACAUUACCCAAAACUAGGCCCUCUCUUGUGUUUCAAUUAUUAAGAAAGUGCUUUUUGUUUUGGGCAUUGUAUGUUUUGGGCACUCCAUUUAGAAAUCCACCUUCUCCAAGAAAAAGCACAAUUGUCUGUGGAAGAGCCGUUAGCUGACCAAUUUGAUAUCACCCAAAACUAAGCUCUCUCUUGUGUUCUCUUGAUGGUCAGAAAGUGCUUCCUGUUUUGGGCGUUAUCGAUUGGAGAAUUCAACUUUGCAGCAAUGGGAUGAUUUAUAUUUGUUUCAGACUGAUUAUGUAGCACCCAAAACGGGGCUCUCUCUUGUGACUGAAUUAUGAUGAGAAAGUGCUUUCUGUUUUGGGCGUUCUGGCCAUCAGAUAUACGACAUGGAAUUGGAUGUUGAGAGGCAGCUUGUGAAAAAAAGGCAUGGAGGCUUAUCAUCCGUGUCAGAAAUUUAUUAGUGGUGUUUAUGUAGGGGAAUUACCUCUGGGAGCUGGAAAAAAAGAAGUUGAGAAGGCCUUCUACUGGAUUGAUAAUGUGACAGAUACAUCUGAUUUUUCAAUGCAAAGCCAACUCUACAAAGCUGCAGAUAAUUUUAUUUAAGGUAUUAUUACUUUCUACUAUUUAACAUCUAAGAGUUUCCUCUGGUUGCUAGUUUCUACCCUGGAUAUCACUAAUGUUAAUUAGGAAGUCUGUCCCUUGCCCCACCCAGACAGGUGACUGCAAAACAAUAGUGUCUUAAUUAUAUGCAUACCGCUUGGCAAUUGAUUGGCUAAUGGUCUUCUAGGAUCUACAGAUAUAAGUGCCAGAUCUAGGGAAGGCAAUCCACAGUCUCCAGCAGAAAGCACUGAAGCUCCUCAAGUGACCUCUGCAAGAUGUUUCUUGUACACUCCAAUAUUACUCCAAUGGGUUUGGAGUCAAAUCUUCAAGGGCCUUGCAAAAAAAAUCCUCUGCAGAGUAAAAGAACCAACAGUGGAAAGGGACUGAAGAUUCCUACAGGCUGAUUAUGCAUCACCCAGAACAAGGCUCUCUUCUUUUGACCUUCAUGGAUGGUGAGAAAGUGCUUUCUGUUUUGGGUGAUCUAUGUAUCAGAAAUACAUCAAAGGUUUUUAUAAGGGGAAUUGGUUCAGAUUAGAAAUGUAUCAUUUGGGUUUAUACGGGAAAUCAAUCCUAGAAAGUUGUGAAAGCCUUCCAAUGGAUUGAUAAUGUGUCAGAUACAACUGAUUUUCAAUGCAAAGCCAAUUUUACAUUACCCAAAACUAGGCCCUCUCUUGUGUUUCAAUUAUUAAGAAAGUGCUUUUUGUUUUGGGCAUUGUAUGUUUUGGGCACUCCAUUUAGAAAUCCACCUUCUCCAAGAAAAAGCACAAUUGUCUGUGGAAGAGCCGUUAGCUGACCAAUUUGAUAUCACCCAAAACUAAGCUCUCUCUUGUGUUCUCUUGAUGGUCAGAAAGUGCUUCCUGUUUUGGGCGUUAUCGAUUGGAGAAUUCAACUUUGCAGCAAUGGGAUGAUUUAUAUUUGUUUCAGACUGAUUAUGUAGCACCCAAAACGGGGCUCUCUCUUGUGACUGAAUUAUGAUGAGAAAGUGCUUUCUGUUUUGGGCGUUCUGGCCAUCAGAUAUACGACAUGGAAUUGGAUGUUGAGAGGCAGCUUGUGAAAAAAAGGCAUGGAGGCUUAUCAUCCGUGUCAGAAAUUUAUUAGUGGUGUUUAUGUAAGGGGAAUUACCUCUGGGAGCUGGAAAAAAAGAAGUUGAGAAGGCCUUCUACUGGAUUGAUAAUGUGACAGAUACAGCUGAUUUUUCAAUGCAAAGCCAACUCUACAAAGCUGCAGAUAAUUUUAUUUAAGGUAUUAUUACUUUCUACUAUUUAACAUCUAAGAGUUUCCUCUGGUUGCUAGUUUCUACCCUGGAUAUCACUAAUGUUAAUUAGGAAGUCUGUCCCUUGCCCCGCCCAGACAGGUGACUGCAAAACAAUAGUGUCUUAAUUAUAUGCAUACCGCUUGGCAAUUGAUUGGCUAAUGGUCUUCUAGGAUCUACAGAUAUAAGUGCCAGAUCUAGGGAAGGCAAUCCACAGUCUCCAGCAGAAAGCACUGAAGCUCCUCAAGUGACCUCUGCAAGAUGUUUCUUGUACACUCCAAUAUUACUCCAAUGGGUUUGGAGUCAAAUCUUCAAGGGCCUUGCAAAAAAAAUCCUCUGCAGAGUAAAAGAACCAACAGUGGAAAGGGACUGAAGAUUCCUACAGGCUGAUUAUGCAUCACCCAGAACAAGGCUCUCUUCUUUUGACCUUCAUGGAUGGUGAGAAAGUGCUUUCUGUUUUGGGUGAUCUAUGUAUCAGAAAUACAUCAAAGGUUUUUAUAAGGGGAAUUGGUUCAGAUUAGAAAUGUAUCAUUUGGGUUUAUACGGGAAAUCAAUCCUAGAAAGUUGUGAAAGCCUUCCAAUGGAUUGAUAAUGUGACAGAUACAACUAAUUUUCAAUGCAAAGCCAAUUUUACAUUACCCAAAACUAGGCCCUCUCUUGUGUUUCAAUUAUUAAGAAAGUGCUUUUUGUUUUGGGCAUUGUAUGUUUUGGGCACUCCAUUUAGAAAUCCACCUUCUCCAAGAAAAAGCACAAUUGUCUGUGGAAGAGCCGUUAGCUGACCAAUUUGAUAUCACCCAAAACUAAGCUCUCUCUUGUGUUCUCUUGAUGGUCAGAAAGUGCUUCCUGUUUUGGGCGUUAUCGAUUGGAGAAUUCAACUUUGCAGCAAUGGGAUGAUUUAUAUUUGUUUCAGACUGAUUAUGUAGCACCCAAAACGGGGCUCUCUCUUGUGACUGAAUUAUGAUGAGAAAGUGCUUUCUGUUUUGGGCGUUCUGGCCAUCAGAUAUACGACAUGGAAUUGGAUGUUGAGAGGCAGCUUGUGAAAAAAAGGCAUGGAGGCUUAUCAUCCGUGUCAGAAAUUUAUUAGUGGUGUUUAUGUAGGGGAAUUACCUCUGGGAGCUGGAAAAAAAGAAGUUGAGAAGGCCUUCUACUGGAUUGAUAAUGUGACAGAUACAGCUGAUUUUUCAAUGCAAAGCCAACUCUACAAAGCUGCAGAUAAUUUUAUUUAAGGUAUUAUUACUUUCUACUAUUUAACAUCUAAGAGUUUCCUCUGGUUGCUAGUUUCUACCCUGGAUAUCACUAAUGUUAAUUAGGAAGUCUGUCCCUUGCCCCACCCAGACAGGUGACUGCAAAACAAUAGUGUCUUAAUUAUAUGCAUACCGCUUGGCAAUUGAUUGGCUAAUGGUCUUCUAGGAUCUACAGAUAUAAGUGCCAGAUCUAGGGAAGGCAAUCCACAGUCUCCAGCAGAAAGCACUGAAGCUCCUCAAGUGACCUCUGCAAGAUGUUUCUUGUACACUCCAAUAUUACUCCAAUGGGUUUGGAGUCAAAUCUUCAAGGGCCUUGCAAAAAAAAUCCUCUGCAGAGUAAAAGAACCAACAGUGGAAAGGGACUGAAGAUUCCUACAGGCUGAUUAUGCAUCACCCAGAACAAGGCUCUCUUCUUUUGACCUUCAUGGAUGGUGAGAAAGUGCUUUCUGUUUUGGGUGAUCUAUGUAUCAGAAAUACAUCAAAGGUUUUUAUAAGGGGAAUUGGUUCAGAUUAGAAAUGUAUCAUUUGGGUUUAUACGGGAAAUCAAUCCUAGAAAGUUGUGAAAGCCUUCCAAUGGAUUGAUAAUGUGUCAGAUACAACUGAUUUUCAAUGCAAAGCCAAUUUUACAUUACCCAAAACUAGGCCCUCUCUUGUGUUUCAAUUAUUAAGAAAGUGCUUUUUGUUUUGGGCAUUGUAUGUUUUGGGCACUCCAUUUAGAAAUCCACCUUCUCCAAGAAAAAGCACAAUUGUCUGUGGAAGAGCCGUUAGCUGACCAAUUUGAUAUCACCCAAAACUAAGCUCUCUCUUGUGUUCUCUUGAUGGUCAGAAAGUGCUUCCUGUUUUGGGCGUUAUCGAUUGGAGAAUUCAACUUUGCAGCAAUGGGAUGAUUUAUAUUUGUUUCAGACUGAUUAUGUAGCACCCAAAACGGGGCUCUCUCUUGUGACUGAAUUAUGAUGAGAAAGUGCUUUCUGUUUUGGGCGUUCUGGCCAUCAGAUAUACGACAUGGAAUUGGAUGUUGAGAGGCAGCUUGUGAAAAAAAGGCAUGGAGGCUUAUCAUCCGUGUCAGAAAUUUAUUAGUGGUGUUUAUGUAGGGGAAUUACCUCUGGGAGCUGGAAAAAAAGAAGUUGAGAAGGCCUUCUACUGGAUUGAUAAUGUGACAGAUACAGCUGAUUUUUCAAUGCAAAGCCAACUCUACAAAGCUGCAGAUAAUUUUAUUUAAGGUAUUAUUACUUUCUACUAUUUAACAUCUAAGAGUUUCCUCUGGUUGCUAGUUUCUACCCUGGAUAUCACUAAUGUUAAUUAGGAAGUCUGUCCCUUGCCCCGCCCAGACAGGUGACUGCAAAACAAUAGUGUCUUAAUUAUAUGCAUACCGCUUGGCAAUUGAUUGGCUAAUGGUCUUCUAGGAUCUACAGAUAUAAGUGCCAGAUCUAGGGAAGGCAAUCCACAGUCUCCAGCAGAAAGCACUGAAGCUCCUCAAGUGACCUCUGCAAGAUGUUUCUUGUACACUCCAAUAUUACUCCAAUGGGUUUGGAGUCAAAUCUUCAAGGGCCUUGCAAAAAAAAUCCUCUGCAGAGUAAAAGAACCAACAGUGGAAAGGGACUGAAGAUUCCUACAGGCUGAUUAUGCAUCACCCAGAACAAGGCUCUCUUCUUUUGACCUUCAUGGAUGGUGAGAAAGUGCUUUCUGUUUUGGGUGAUCUAUGUAUCAGAAAUACAUCAAAGGUUUUUAUAAGGGGAAUUGGUUCAGAUUAGAAAUGUAUCAUUUGGGUUUAUACGGGAAAUCAAUCCUAGAAAGUUGUGAAAGCCUUCCAAUGGAUUGAUAAUGUGUCAGAUACAACUGAUUUUCAAUGCAAAGCCAAUUUUACAUUACCCAAAACUAGGCCCUCUCUUGUGUUUCAAUUAUUAAGAAAGUGCUUUUUGUUUUGGGCAUUGUAUGUUUUGGGCACUCCAUUUAGAAAUCCACCUUCUCCAAGAAAAAGCACAAUUGUCUGUGGAAGAGCCGUUAGCUGACCAAUUUGAUAUCACCCAAAACUAAGCUCUCUCUUGUGUUCUCUUGAUGGUCAGAAAGUGCUUCCUGUUUUGGGCGUUAUCGAUUGGAGAAUUCAACUUUGCAGCAAUGGGAUGAUUUAUAUUUGUUUCAGACUGAUUAUGUAGCACCCAAAACGGGGCUCUCUCUUGUGACUGAAUUAUGAUGAGAAAGUGCUUUCUGUUUUGGGCGUUCUGGCCAUCAGAUAUACGACAUGGAAUUGGAUGUUGAGAGGCAGCUUGUGAAAAAAAGGCAUGGAGGCUUAUCAUCCGUGUCAGAAAUUUAUUAGUGGUGUUUAUGUAAGGGGAAUUACCUCUGGGAGCUGGAAAAAAAGAAGUUGAGAAGGCCUUCUACUGGAUUGAUAAUGUGACAGAUACAGCUGAUUUUUCAAUGCAAAGCCAACUCUACAAAGCUGCAGAUAAUUUUAUUUAAGGUAUUAUUACUUUCUACUAUUUAACAUCUAAGAGUUUCCUCUGGUUGCUAGUUUCUACCCUGGAUAUCACUAAUGUUAAUUAGGAAGUCUGUCCCUUGCCCCACCCAGACAGGUGACUGCAAAACAAUAGUGUCUUAAUUAUAUGCAUACCGCUUGGCAAUUGAUUGGCUAAUGGUCUUCUAGGAUCUACAGAUAUAAGUGCCAGAUCUAGGGAAGGCAAUCCACAGUCUCCAGCAGAAAGCACUGAAGCUCCUCAAGUGACCUCUGCAAGAUGUUUCUUGUACACUCCAAUAUUACUCCAAUGGGUUUGGAGUCAAAUCUUCAAGGGCCUUGCAAAAAAAAUCCUCUGCAGAGUAAAAGAACCAACAGUGGAAAGGGACUGAAGAUUCCUACAGGCUGAUUAUGCAUCACCCAGAACAAGGCUCUCUUCUUUUGACCUUCAUGGAUGGAUCUACAGAUAUAAGUGCCAGAUCUAGGGAAGGCAAUCCACAGUCUCCAGCAGAAAGCACUGAAGCUCCUCAAGUGACCUCUGCAAGAUGUUUCUUGUACACUCCAAUAUUACUCCAAUGGGUUUGGAGUCAAAUCUUCAAGGGCCUUGCAAAAAAAAUCCUCUGCAGAGUAAAAGAACCAACAGUGGAAAGGGACUGAAGAUUCCUACAGGCUGAUUAUGCAUCACCCAGAACAAGGCUCUCUUCUUUUGACCUUCAUGGAUGGAUCUACAGAUAUAAGUGCCAGAUCUAGGGAAGGCAAUCCACAGUCUCCAGCAGAAAGCACUGAAGCUCCUCAAGUGACCUCUGCAAGAUGUUUCUUGUACACUCCAAUAUUACUCCAAUGGGUUUGGAGUCAAAUCUUCAAGGGCCUUGCAAAAAAAAUCCUCUGCAGAGUAAAAGAACCAACAGUGGAAAGGGACUGAAGAUUCCUACAGGCUGAUUAUGCAUCACCCAGAACAAGGCUCUCUUCUUUUGACCUUCAUGGAUGGUGAGAAAGUGCUUUCUGUUUUGGGUGAUCUAUGUAUCAGAAAUACAUCAAAGGUUUUUAUAAGGGGAAUUGGUUCAGAUUAGAAAUGUAUCAUUUGGGUUUAUACGGGAAAUCAAUCCUAGAAAGUUGUGAAAGCCUUCCAAUGGAUUGAUAAUGUGUCAGAUACAACUGAUUUUCAAUGCAAAGCCAAUUUUACAUUACCCAAAACUAGGCCCUCUCUUGUGUUUCAAUUAUUAAGAAAGUGCUUUUUGUUUUGGGCAUUGUAUGUUUUGGGCACUCCAUUUAGAAAUCCACCUUCUCCAAGAAAAAGCACAAUUGUCUGUGGAAGAGCCGUUAGCUGACCAAUUUGAUAUCACCCAAAACUAAGCUCUCUCUUGUGUUCUCUUGAUGGUCAGAAAGUGCUUCCUGUUUUGGGCGUUAUCGAUUGGAGAAUUCAACUUUGCAGCAAUGGGAUGAUUUAUAUUUGUUUCAGACUGAUUAUGUAGCACCCAAAACGGGGCUCUCUCUUGUGACUGAAUUAUGAUGAGAAAGUGCUUUCUGUUUUGGGCGUUCUGGCCAUCAGAUAUACGACAUGGAAUUGGAUGUUGAGAGGCAGCUUGUGAAAAAAAGGCAUGGAGGCUUAUCAUCCGUGUCAGAAAUUUAUUAGUGGUGUUUAUGUGGGGAAUUACCUCUGGGAGCUGGAAAAAAAGAAGUUGAGAAGGCCUUCUACUGGAUUGAUAAUGUGACAGAUACAGCUGAUUUUUCAAUGCAAAGCCAACUCUACAAAGCUGCAGAUAAUUUUAUUUAAGGUAUUAUUACUUUCUACUAUUUAACAUCUAAGAGUUUCCUCUGGUUGCUAGUUUCUACCCUGGAUAUCACUAAUGUUAAUUAGGAAGUCUGUCCCUUGCCCCACCCAGACAGGUGACUGCAAAACAAUAGUGUCUUAAUUAUAUGCAUACCGCUUGGCAAUUGAUUGGCUAAUGGUCUUCUAGGAUCUACAGAUAUAAGUGCCAGAUCUAGGGAAGGCAAUCCACAGUCUCCAGCAGAAAGCACUGAAGCUCCUCAAGUGACCUCUGCAAGAUGUUUCUUGUACACUCCAAUAUUACUCCAAUGGGUUUGGAGUCAAAUCUUCAAGGGCCUUGCAAAAAAAAUCCUCUGCAGAGUAAAAGAACCAACAGUGGAAAGGGACUGAAGAUUCCUACAGGCUGAUUAUGCAUCACCCAGAACAAGGCUCUCUUCUUUUGACCUUCAUGGAUGGUGAGAAAGUGCUUUCUGUUUUGGGUGAUCUAUGUAUCAGAAAUACAUCAAAGGUUUUUAUAAGGGGAAUUGGUUCAGAUUAGAAAUGUAUCAUUUGGGUUUAUACGGGAAAUCAAUCCUAGAAAGUUGUGAAAGCCUUCCAAUGGAUUGAUAAUGUGUCAGAUACAACUGAUUUUCAAUGCAAAGCCAAUUUUACAUUACCCAAAACUAGGCCCUCUCUUGUGUUUCAAUUAUUAAGAAAGUGCUUUUUGUUUUGGGCAUUGUAUGUUUUGGGCACUCCAUUUAGAAAUCCACCUUCUCCAAGAAAAAGCACAAUUGUCUGUGGAAGAGCCGUUAGCUGACCAAUUUGAUAUCACCCAAAACUAAGCUCUCUCUUGUGUUCUCUUGAUGGUCAGAAAGUGCUUCCUGUUUUGGGCGUUAUCGAUUGGAGAAUUCAACUUUGCAGCAAUGGGAUGAUUUAUAUUUGUUUCAGACUGAUUAUGUAGCACCCAAAACGGGGCUCUCUCUUGUGACUGAAUUAUGAUGAGAAAGUGCUUUCUGUUUUGGGCGUUCUGGCCAUCAGAUAUACGACAUGGAAUUGGAUGUUGAGAGGCAGCUUGUGAAAAAAAGGCAUGGAGGCUUAUCAUCCGUGUCAGAAAUUUAUUAGUGGUGUUUAUGUAGGGGAAUUACCUCUGGGAGCUGGAAAAAAAGAAGUUGAGAAGGCCUUCUACUGGAUUGAUAAUGUGACAGAUACAGCUGAUUUUUCAAUGCAAAGCCAACUCUACAAAGCUGCAGAUAAUUUUAUUUAAGGUAUUAUUACUUUCUACUAUUUAACAUCUAAGAGUUUCCUCUGGUUGCUAGUUUCUACCCUGGAUAUCACUAAUGUUAAUUAGGAAGUCUGUCCCUUGCCCCACCCAGACAGGUGACUGCAAAACAAUAGUGUCUUAAUUAUAUGCAUACCGCUUGGCAAUUGAUUGGCUAAUGGUCUUCUAGGAUCUACAGAUAUAAGUGCCAGAUCUAGGGAAGGCAAUCCACAGUCUCCAGCAGAAAGCACUGAAGCUCCUCAAGUGACCUCUGCAAGAUGUUUCUUGUACACUCCAAUAUUACUCCAAUGGGUUUGGAGUCAAAUCUUCAAGGGCCUUGCAAAAAAAAUCCUCUGCAGAGUAAAAGAACCAACAGUGGAAAGGGACUGAAGAUUCCUACAGGCUGAUUAUGCAUCACCCAGAACAAGGCUCUCUUCUUUUGACCUUCAUGGAUGGUGAGAAAGUGCUUUCUGUUUUGGGUGAUCUAUGUAUCAGAAAUACAUCAAAGGUUUUUAUAAGGGGAAUUGGUUCAGAUUAGAAAUGUAUCAUUUGGGUUUAUACGGGAAAUCAAUCCUAGAAAGUUGUGAAAGCCUUCCAAUGGAUUGAUAAUGUGUCAGAUACAACUGAUUUUCAAUGCAAAGCCAAUUUUACAUUACCCAAAACUAGGCCCUCUCUUGUGUUUCAAUUAUUAAGAAAGUGCUUUUUGUUUUGGGCAUUGUAUGUUUUGGGCACUCCAUUUAGAAAUCCACCUUCUCCAAGAAAAAGCACAAUUGUCUGUGGAAGAGCCGUUAGCUGACCAAUUUGAUAUCACCCAAAACUAAGCUCUCUCUUGUGUUCUCUUGAUGGUCAGAAAGUGCUUCCUGUUUUGGGCGUUAUCGAUUGGAGAAUUCAACUUUGCAGCAAUGGGAUGAUUUAUAUUUGUUUCAGACUGAUUAUGUAGCACCCAAAACGGGGCUCUCUCUUGUGACUGAAUUAUGAUGAGAAAGUGCUUUCUGUUUUGGGCGUUCUGGCCAUCAGAUAUACGACAUGGAAUUGGAUGUUGAGAGGCAGCUUGUGAAAAAAAGGCAUGGAGGCUUAUCAUCCGUGUCAGAAAUUUAUUAGUGGUGUUUAUGUAAGGGGAAUUACCUCUGGGAGCUGGAAAAAAAGAAGUUGAGAAGGCCUUCUACUGGAUUGAUAAUGUGACAGAUACAGCUGAUUUUUCAAUGCAAAGCCAACUCUACAAACCUGCAGAUAAUUUUAUUUAAGGUAUUAUUACUUUCUACUAUUUAACAUCUAAGAGUUUCCUCUGGUUGCUAGUUUCUACCCUGGAUAUCACUAAUGUUAAUUAGGAAGUCUGUCCCUUGCCCCGCCCAGACAGGUGACUGCAAAACAAUAGUGUCUUAAUUAUAUGCAUACCGCUUGGCAAUUGAUUGGCUAAUGGUCUUCUAGGAUCUACAGAUAUAAGUGCCAGAUCUAGGGAAGGCAAUCCACAGUCUCCAGCAGAAAGCACUGAAGCUCCUCAAGUGACCUCUGCAAGAUGUUUCUUGUACACUCCAAUAUUACUCCAAUGGGUUUGGAGUCAAAUCUUCAAGGGCCUUGCAAAAAAAAUCCUCUGCAGAGUAAAAGAACCAACAGUGGAAAGGGACUGAAGAUUCCUACAGGCUGAUUAUGCAUCACCCAGAACAAGGCUCUCUUCUUUUGACCUUCAUGGAUGGUGAGAAAGUGCUUUCUGUUUUGGGUGAUCUAUGUAUCAGAAAUACAUCAAAGGUUUUUAUAAGGGGAAUUGGUUCAGAUUAGAAAUGUAUCAUUUGGGUUUAUACGGGAAAUCAAUCCUAGAAAGUUGUGAAAGCCUUCCAAUGGAUUGAUAAUGUGUCAGAUACAACUGAUUUUCAAUGCAAAGCCAAUUUUACAUUACCCAAAACUAGGCCCUCUCUUGUGUUUCAAUUAUUAAGAAAGUGCUUUUUGUUUUGGGCAUUGUAUGUUUUGGGCACUCCAUUUAGAAAUCCACCUUCUCCAAGAAAAAGCACAAUUGUCUGUGGAAGAGCCGUUAGCUGACCAAUUUGAUAUCACCCAAAACUAAGCUCUCUCUUGUGUUCUCUUGAUGGUCAGAAAGUGCUUCCUGUUUUGGGCGUUAUCGAUUGGAGAAUUCAACUUUGCAGCAAUGGGAUGAUUUAUAUUUGUUUCAGACUGAUUAUGUAGCACCCAAAACGGGGCUCUCUCUUGUGACUGAAUUAUGAUGAGAAAGUGCUUUCUGUUUUGGGCGUUCUGGCCAUCAGAUAUACGACAUGGAAUUGGAUGUUGAGAGGCAGCUUGUGAAAAAAAGGCAUGGAGGCUUAUCAUCCGUGUCAGAAAUUUAUUAGUGGUGUUUAUGUAGGGGAAUUACCUCUGGGAGCUGGAAAAAAAGAAGUUGAGAAGGCCUUCUACUGGAUUGAUAAUGUGACAGAUACAGCUGAUUUUUCAAUGCAAAGCCAACUCUACAAAGCUGCAGAUAAUUUUAUUUAAGGUAUUAUUACUUUCUACUAUUUAACAUCUAAGAGUUUCCUCUGGUUGCUAGUUUCUACCCUGGAUAUCACUAAUGUUAAUUAGGAAGUCUGUCCCUUGCCCCACCCAGACAGGUGACUGCAAAACAAUAGUGUCUUAAUUAUAUGCAUACCGCUUGGCAAUUGAUUGGCUAAUGGUCUUCUAGGAUCUACAGAUAUAAGUGCCAGAUCUAGGGAAGGCAAUCCACAGUCUCCAGCAGAAAGCACUGAAGCUCCUCAAGUGACCUCUGCAAGAUGUUUCUUGUACACUCCAAUAUUACUCCAAUGGGUUUGGAGUCAAAUCUUCAAGGGCCUUGCAAAAAAAAUCCUCUGCAGAGUAAAAGAACCAACAGUGGAAAGGGACUGAAGAUUCCUACAGGCUGAUUAUGCAUCACCCAGAACAAGGCUCUCUUCUUUUGACCUUCAUGGAUGGUGAGAAAGUGCUUUCUGUUUUGGGUGAUCUAUGUAUCAGAAAUACAUCAAAGGUUUUUAUAAGGGGAAUUGGUUCAGAUUAGAAAUGUAUCAUUUGGGUUUAUACGGGAAAUCAAUCCUAGAAAGUUGUGAAAGCCUUCCAAUGGAUUGAUAAUGUGUCAGAUACAACUGAUUUUCAAUGCAAAGCCAAUUUUACAUUACCCAAAACUAGGCCCUCUCUUGUGUUUCAAUUAUUAAGAAAGUGCUUUUUGUUUUGGGCAUUGUAUGUUUUGGGCACUCCAUUUAGAAAUCCACCUUCUCCAAGAAAAAGCACAAUUGUCUGUGGAAGAGCCGUUAGCUGACCAAUUUGAUAUCACCCAAAACUAAGCUCUCUCUUGUGUUCUCUUGAUGGUCAGAAAGUGCUUCCUGUUUUGGGCGUUAUCGAUUGGAGAAUUCAACUUUGCAGCAAUGGGAUGAUUUAUAUUUGUUUCAGACUGAUUAUGUAGCACCCAAAACGGGGCUCUCUCUUGUGACUGAAUUAUGAUGAGAAAGUGCUUUCUGUUUUGGGCGUUCUGGCCAUCAGAUAUACGACAUGGAAUUGGAUGUUGAGAGGCAGCUUGUGAAAAAAAGGCAUGGAGGCUUAUCAUCCGUGUCAGAAAUUUAUUAGUGGUGUUUAUGUGGGGAAUUACCUCUGGGAGCUGGAAAAAAAGAAGUUGAGAAGGCCUUCUACUGGAUUGAUAAUGUGACAGAUACAGCUGAUUUUUCAAUGCAAAGCCAACUCUACAAAGCUGCAGAUAAUUUUAUUUAAGGUAUUAUUACUUUCUACUAUUUAACAUCUAAGAGUUUCCUCUGGUUGCUAGUUUCUACCCUGGAUAUCACUAAUGUUAAUUAGGAAGUCUGUCCCUUGCCCCGCCCAGACAGGUGACUGCAAAACAAUAGUGUCUUAAUUAUAUGCAUACCGCUUGGCAAUUGAUUGGCUAAUGGUCUUCUAGGAUCUACAGAUAUAAGUGCCAGAUCUAGGGAAGGCAAUCCACAGUCUCCAGCAGAAAGCACUGAAGCUCCUCAAGUGACCUCUGCAAGAUGUUUCUUGUACACUCCAAUAUUACUCCAAUGGGUUUGGAGUCAAAUCUUCAAGGGCCUUGCAAAAAAAAUCCUCUGCAGAGUAAAAGAACCAACAGUGGAAAGGGACUGAAGAUUCCUACAGGCUGAUUAUGCAUCACCCAGAACAAGGCUCUCUUCUUUUGACCUUCAUGGAUGGUGAGAAAGUGCUUUCUGUUUUGGGUGAUCUAUGUAUCAGAAAUACAUCAAAGGUUUUUAUAAGGGGAAUUGGUUCAGAUUAGAAAUGUAUCAUUUGGGUUUAUACGGGAAAUCAAUCCUAGAAAGUUGUGAAAGCCUUCCAAUGGAUUGAUAAUGUGUCAGAUACAACUGAUUUUCAAUGCAAAGCCAAUUUUACAUUACCCAAAACUAGGCCCUCUCUUGUGUUUCAAUUAUUAAGAAAGUGCUUUUUGUUUUGGGCAUUGUAUGUUUUGGGCACUCCAUUUAGAAAUCCACCUUCUCCAAGAAAAAGCACAAUUGUCUGUGGAAGAGCCGUUAGCUGACCAAUUUGAUAUCACCCAAAACUAAGCUCUCUCUUGUGUUCUCUUGAUGGUCAGAAAGUGCUUCCUGUUUUGGGCGUUAUCGAUUGGAGAAUUCAACUUUGCAGCAAUGGGAUGAUUUAUAUUUGUUUCAGACUGAUUAUGUAGCACCCAAAACGGGGCUCUCUCUUGUGACUGAAUUAUGAUGAGAAAGUGCUUUCUGUUUUGGGCGUUCUGGCCAUCAGAUAUACGACAUGGAAUUGGAUGUUGAGAGGCAGCUUGUGAAAAAAAGGCAUGGAGGCUUAUCAUCCGUGUCAGAAAUUUAUUAGUGGUGUUUAUGUAGGGGAAUUACCUCUGGGAGCUGGAAAAAAAGAAGUUGAGAAGGCCUUCUACUGGAUUGAUAAUGUGACAGAUACAGCUGAUUUUUCAAUGCAAAGCCAACUCUACAAAGCUGCAGAUAAUUUUAUUUAAGGUAUUAUUACUUUCUACUAUUUAACAUCUAAGAGUUUCCUCUGGUUGCUAGUUUCUACCCUGGAUAUCACUAAUGUUAAUUAGGAAGUCUGUCCCUUGCCCCGCCCAGACAGGUGACUGCAAAACAAUAGUGUCUUAAUUAUAUGCAUACCGCUUGGCAAUUGAUUGGCUAAUGGUCUUCUAGGAUCUACAGAUAUAAGUGCCAGAUCUAGGGAAGGCAAUCCACAGUCUCCAGCAGAAAGCACUGAAGCUCCUCAAGUGACCUCUGCAAGAUGUUUCUUGUACACUCCAAUAUUACUCCAAUGGGUUUGGAGUCAAAUCUUCAAGGGCCUUGCAAAAAAAAUCCUCUGCAGAGUAAAAGAACCAACAGUGGAAAGGGACUGAAGAUUCCUACAGGCUGAUUAUGCAUCACCCAGAACAAGGCUCUCUUCUUUUGACCUUCAUGGAUGGUGAGAAAGUGCUUUCUGUUUUGGGUGAUCUAUGUAUCAGAAAUACAUCAAAGGUUUUUAUAAGGGGAAUUGGUUCAGAUUAGAAAUGUAUCAUUUGGGUUUAUACGGGAAAUCAAUCCUAGAAAGUUGUGAAAGCCUUCCAAUGGAUUGAUAAUGUGUCAGAUACAACUGAUUUUCAAUGCAAAGCCAAUUUUACAUUACCCAAAACUAGGCCCUCUCUUGUGUUUCAAUUAUUAAGAAAGUGCUUUUUGUUUUGGGCAUUGUAUGUUUUGGGCACUCCAUUUAGAAAUCCACCUUCUCCAAGAAAAAGCACAAUUGUCUGUGGAAGAGCCGUUAGCUGACCAAUUUGAUAUCACCCAAAACUAAGCUCUCUCUUGUGUUCUCUUGAUGGUCAGAAAGUGCUUCCUGUUUUGGGCGUUAUCGAUUGGAGAAUUCAACUUUGCAGCAAUGGGAUGAUUUAUAUUUGUUUCAGACUGAUUAUGUAGCACCCAAAACGGGGCUCUCUCUUGUGACUGAAUUAUGAUGAGAAAGUGCUUUCUGUUUUGGGCGUUCUGGCCAUCAGAUAUACGACAUGGAAUUGGAUGUUGAGAGGCAGCUUGUGAAAAAAAGGCAUGGAGGCUUAUCAUCCGUGUCAGAAAUUUAUUAGUGGUGUUUAUGUAAGGGGAAUUACCUCUGGGAGCUGGAAAAAAAGAAGUUGAGAAGGCCUUCUACUGGAUUGAUAAUGUGACAGAUACAGCUGAUUUUUCAAUGCAAAGCCAACUCUACAAACCUGCAGAUAAUUUUAUUUAAGGUAUUAUUACUUUCUACUAUUUAACAUCUAAGAGUUUCCUCUGGUUGCUAGUUUCUACCCUGGAUAUCACUAAUGUUAAUUAGGAAGUCUGUCCCUUGCCCCGCCCAGACAGGUGACUGCAAAACAAUAGUGUCUUAAUUAUAUGCAUACCGCUUGGCAAUUGAUUGGCUAAUGGUCUUCUAGGAUCUACAGAUAUAAGUGCCAGAUCUAGGGAAGGCAAUCCACAGUCUCCAGCAGAAAGCACUGAAGCUCCUCAAGUGACCUCUGCAAGAUGUUUCUUGUACACUCCAAUAUUACUCCAAUGGGUUUGGAGUCAAAUCUUCAAGGGCCUUGCAAAAAAAAUCCUCUGCAGAGUAAAAGAACCAACAGUGGAAAGGGACUGAAGAUUCCUACAGGCUGAUUAUGCAUCACCCAGAACAAGGCUCUCUUCUUUUGACCUUCAUGGAUGGUGAGAAAGUGCUUUCUGUUUUGGGUGAUCUAUGUAUCAGAAAUACAUCAAAGGUUUUUAUAAGGGGAAUUGGUUCAGAUUAGAAAUGUAUCAUUUGGGUUUAUACGGGAAAUCAAUCCUAGAAAGUUGUGAAAGCCUUCCAAUGGAUUGAUAAUGUGUCAGAUACAACUGAUUUUCAAUGCAAAGCCAAUUUUACAUUACCCAAAACUAGGCCCUCUCUUGUGUUUCAAUUAUUAAGAAAGUGCUUUUUGUUUUGGGCAUUGUAUGUUUUGGGCACUCCAUUUAGAAAUCCACCUUCUCCAAGAAAAAGCACAAUUGUCUGUGGAAGAGCCGUUAGCUGACCAAUUUGAUAUCACCCAAAACUAAGCUCUCUCUUGUGUUCUCUUGAUGGUCAGAAAGUGCUUCCUGUUUUGGGCGUUAUCGAUUGGAGAAUUCAACUUUGCAGCAAUGGGAUGAUUUAUAUUUGUUUCAGACUGAUUAUGUAGCACCCAAAACGGGGCUCUCUCUUGUGACUGAAUUAUGAUGAGAAAGUGCUUUCUGUUUUGGGCGUUCUGGCCAUCAGAUAUACGACAUGGAAUUGGAUGUUGAGAGGCAGCUUGUGAAAAAAAGGCAUGGAGGCUUAUCAUCCGUGUCAGAAAUUUAUUAGUGGUGUUUAUGUGGGGAAUUACCUCUGGGAGCUGGAAAAAAAGAAGUUGAGAAGGCCUUCUACUGGAUUGAUAAUGUGACAGAUACAGCUGAUUUUUCAAUGCAAAGCCAACUCUACAAAGCUGCAGAUAAUUUUAUUUAAGGUAUUAUUACUUUCUACUAUUUAACAUCUAAGAGUUUCCUCUGGUUGCUAGUUUCUACCCUGGAUAUCACUAAUGUUAAUUAGGAAGUCUGUCCCUUGCCCCACCCAGACAGGUGACUGCAAAACAAUAGUGUCUUAAUUAUAUGCAUACCGCUUGGCAAUUGAUUGGCUAAUGGUCUUCUAGGAUCUACAGAUAUAAGUGCCAGAUCUAGGGAAGGCAAUCCACAGUCUCCAGCAGAAAGCACUGAAGCUCCUCAAGUGACCUCUGCAAGAUGUUUCUUGUACACUCCAAUAUUACUCCAAUGGGUUUGGAGUCAAAUCUUCAAGGGCCUUGCAAAAAAAAUCCUCUGCAGAGUAAAAGAACCAACAGUGGAAAGGGACUGAAGAUUCCUACAGGCUGAUUAUGCAUCACCCAGAACAAGGCUCUCUUCUUUUGACCUUCAUGGAUGGUGAGAAAGUGCUUUCUGUUUUGGGUGAUCUAUGUAUCAGAAAUACAUCAAAGGUUUUUAUAAGGGGAAUUGGUUCAGAUUAGAAAUGUAUCAUUUGGGUUUAUACGGGAAAUCAAUCCUAGAAAGUUGUGAAAGCCUUCCAAUGGAUUGAUAAUGUGUCAGAUACAACUGAUUUUCAAUGCAAAGCCAAUUUUACAUUACCCAAAACUAGGCCCUCUCUUGUGUUUCAAUUAUUAAGAAAGUGCUUUUUGUUUUGGGCAUUGUAUGUUUUGGGCACUCCAUUUAGAAAUCCACCUUCUCCAAGAAAAAGCACAAUUGUCUGUGGAAGAGCCGUUAGCUGACCAAUUUGAUAUCACCCAAAACUAAGCUCUCUCUUGUGUUCUCUUGAUGGUCAGAAAGUGCUUCCUGUUUUGGGCGUUAUCGAUUGGAGAAUUCAACUUUGCAGCAAUGGGAUGAUUUAUAUUUGUUUCAGACUGAUUAUGUAGCACCCAAAACGGGGCUCUCUCUUGUGACUGAAUUAUGAUGAGAAAGUGCUUUCUGUUUUGGGCGUUCUGGCCAUCAGAUAUACGACAUGGAAUUGGAUGUUGAGAGGCAGCUUGUGAAAAAAAGGCAUGGAGGCUUAUCAUCCGUGUCAGAAAUUUAUUAGUGGUGUUUAUGUAGGGGAAUUACCUCUGGGAGCUGGAAAAAAAGAAGUUGAGAAGGCCUUCUACUGGAUUGAUAAUGUGACAGAUACAGCUGAUUUUUCAAUGCAAAGCCAACUCUACAAAGCUGCAGAUAAUUUUAUUUAAGGUAUUAUUACUUUCUACUAUUUAACAUCUAAGAGUUUCCUCUGGUUGCUAGUUUCUACCCUGGAUAUCACUAAUGUUAAUUAGGAAGUCUGUCCCUUGCCCCGCCCAGACAGGUGACUGCAAAACAAUAGUGUCUUAAUUAUAUGCAUACCGCUUGGCAAUUGAUUGGCUAAUGGUCUUCUAGGAUCUACAGAUAUAAGUGCCAGAUCUAGGGAAGGCAAUCCACAGUCUCCAGCAGAAAGCACUGAAGCUCCUCAAGUGACCUCUGCAAGAUGUUUCUUGUACACUCCAAUAUUACUCCAAUGGGUUUGGAGUCAAAUCUUCAAGGGCCUUGCAAAAAAAAUCCUCUGCAGAGUAAAAGAACCAACAGUGGAAAGGGACUGAAGAUUCCUACAGGCUGAUUAUGCAUCACCCAGAACAAGGCUCUCUUCUUUUGACCUUCAUGGAUGGUGAGAAAGUGCUUUCUGUUUUGGGUGAUCUAUGUAUCAGAAAUACAUCAAAGGUUUUUAUAAGGGGAAUUGGUUCAGAUUAGAAAUGUAUCAUUUGGGUUUAUACGGGAAAUCAAUCCUAGAAAGUUGUGAAAGCCUUCCAAUGGAUUGAUAAUGUGUCAGAUACAACUGAUUUUCAAUGCAAAGCCAAUUUUACAUUACCCAAAACUAGGCCCUCUCUUGUGUUUCAAUUAUUAAGAAAGUGCUUUUUGUUUUGGGCAUUGUAUGUUUUGGGCACUCCAUUUAGAAAUCCACCUUCUCCAAGAAAAAGCACAAUUGUCUGUGGAAGAGCCGUUAGCUGACCAAUUUGAUAUCACCCAAAACUAAGCUCUCUCUUGUGUUCUCUUGAUGGUCAGAAAGUGCUUCCUGUUUUGGGCGUUAUCGAUUGGAGAAUUCAACUUUGCAGCAAUGGGAUGAUUUAUAUUUGUUUCAGACUGAUUAUGUAGCACCCAAAACGGGGCUCUCUCUUGUGACUGAAUUAUGAUGAGAAAGUGCUUUCUGUUUUGGGCGUUCUGGCCAUCAGAUAUACGACAUGGAAUUGGAUGUUGAGAGGCAGCUUGUGAAAAAAAGGCAUGGAGGCUUAUCAUCCGUGUCAGAAAUUUAUUAGUGGUGUUUAUGUAGGGGAAUUACCUCUGGGAGCUGGAAAAAAAGAAGUUGAGAAGGCCUUCUACUGGAUUGAUAAUGUGACAGAUACAGCUGAUUUUUCAAUGCAAAGCCAACUCUACAAACCUGCAGAUAAUUUUAUUUAAGGUAUUAUUACUUUCUACUAUUUAACAUCUAAGAGUUUCCUCUGGUUGCUAGUUUCUACCCUGGAUAUCACUAAUGUUAAUUAGGAAGUCUGUCCCUUGCCCCACCCAGACAGGUGACUGCAAAACAAUAGUGUCUUAAUUAUAUGCAUACCGCUUGGCAAUUGAUUGGCUAAUGGUCUUCUAGGAUCUACAGAUAUAAGUGCCAGAUCUAGGGAAGGCAAUCCACAGUCUCCAGCAGAAAGCACUGAAGCUCCUCAAGUGACCUCUGCAAGAUGUUUCUUGUACACUCCAAUAUUACUCCAAUGGGUUUGGAGUCAAAUCUUCAAGGGCCUUGCAAAAAAAAUCCUCUGCAGAGUAAAAGAACCAACAGUGGAAAGGGACUGAAGAUUCCUACAGGCUGAUUAUGCAUCACCCAGAACAAGGCUCUCUUCUUUUGACCUUCAUGGAUGGUGAGAAAGUGCUUUCUGUUUUGGGUGAUCUAUGUAUCAGAAAUACAUCAAAGGUUUUUAUAAGGGGAAUUGGUUCAGAUUAGAAAUGUAUCAUUUGGGUUUAUACGGGAAAUCAAUCCUAGAAAGUUGUGAAAGCCUUCCAAUGGAUUGAUAAUGUGUCAGAUACAACUGAUUUUCAAUGCAAAGCCAAUUUUACAUUACCCAAAACUAGGCCCUCUCUUGUGUUUCAAUUAUUAAGAAAGUGCUUUUUGUUUUGGGCAUUGUAUGUUUUGGGCACUCCAUUUAGAAAUCCACCUUCUCCAAGAAAAAGCACAAUUGUCUGUGGAAGAGCCGUUAGCUGACCAAUUUGAUAUCACCCAAAACUAAGCUCUCUCUUGUGUUCUCUUGAUGGUCAGAAAGUGCUUCCUGUUUUGGGCGUUAUCGAUUGGAGAAUUCAACUUUGCAGCAAUGGGAUGAUUUAUAUUUGUUUCAGACUGAUUAUGUAGCACCCAAAACGGGGCUCUCUCUUGUGACUGAAUUAUGAUGAGAAAGUGCUUUCUGUUUUGGGCGUUCUGGCCAUCAGAUAUACGACAUGGAAUUGGAUGUUGAGAGGCAGCUUGUGAAAAAAAGGCAUGGAGGCUUAUCAUCCGUGUCAGAAAUUUAUUAGUGGUGUUUAUGUAGGGGAAUUACCUCUGGGAGCUGGAAAAAAAGAAGUUGAGAAGGCCUUCUACUGGAUUGAUAAUGUGACAGAUACAGCUGAUUUUUCAAUGCAAAGCCAACUCUACAAACCUGCAGAUAAUUUUAUUUAAGGUAUUAUUACUUUCUACUAUUUAACAUCUAAGAGUUUCCUCUGGUUGCUAGUUUCUACCCUGGAUAUCACUAAUGUUAAUUAGGAAGUCUGUCCCUUGCCCCGCCCAGACAGGUGACUGCAAAACAAUAGUGUCUUAAUUAUAUGCAUACCGCUUGGCAAUUGAUUGGCUAAUGGUCUUCUAGGAUCUACAGAUAUAAGUGCCAGAUCUAGGGAAGGCAAUCCACAGUCUCCAGCAGAAAGCACUGAAGCUCCUCAAGUGACCUCUGCAAGAUGUUUCUUGUACACUCCAAUAUUACUCCAAUGGGUUUGGAGUCAAAUCUUCAAGGGCCUUGCAAAAAAAAUCCUCUGCAGAGUAAAAGAACCAACAGUGGAAAGGGACUGAAGAUUCCUACAGGCUGAUUAUGCAUCACCCAGAACAAGGCUCUCUUCUUUUGACCUUCAUGGAUGGUGAGAAAGUGCUUUCUGUUUUGGGUGAUCUAUGUAUCAGAAAUACAUCAAAGGUUUUUAUAAGGGGAAUUGGUUCAGAUUAGAAAUGUAUCAUUUGGGUUUAUACGGGAAAUCAAUCCUAGAAAGUUGUGAAAGCCUUCCAAUGGAUUGAUAAUGUGUCAGAUACAACUGAUUUUCAAUGCAAAGCCAAUUUUACAUUACCCAAAACUAGGCCCUCUCUUGUGUUUCAAUUAUUAAGAAAGUGCUUUUUGUUUUGGGCAUUGUAUGUUUUGGGCACUCCAUUUAGAAAUCCACCUUCUCCAAGAAAAAGCACAAUUGUCUGUGGAAGAGCCGUUAGCUGACCAAUUUGAUAUCACCCAAAACUAAGCUCUCUCUUGUGUUCUCUUGAUGGUCAGAAAGUGCUUCCUGUUUUGGGCGUUAUCGAUUGGAGAAUUCAACUUUGCAGCAAUGGGAUGAUUUAUAUUUGUUUCAGACUGAUUAUGUAGCACCCAAAACGGGGCUCUCUCUUGUGACUGAAUUAUGAUGAGAAAGUGCUUUCUGUUUUGGGCGUUCUGGCCAUCAGAUAUACGACAUGGAAUUGGAUGUUGAGAGGCAGCUUGUGAAAAAAAGGCAUGGAGGCUUAUCAUCCGUGUCAGAAAUUUAUUAGUGGUGUUUAUGUAAGGGGAAUUACCUCUGGGAGCUGGAAAAAAAGAAGUUGAGAAGGCCUUCUACUGGAUUGAUAAUGUGACAGAUACAGCUGAUUUUUCAAUGCAAAGCCAACUCUACAAAGCUGCAGAUAAUUUUAUUUAAGGUAUUAUUACUUUCUACUAUUUAACAUCUAAGAGUUUCCUCUGGUUGCUAGUUUCUACCCUGGAUAUCACUAAUGUUAAUUAGGAAGUCUGUCCCUUGCCCCGCCCAGACAGGUGACUGCAAAACAAUAGUGUCUUAAUUAUAUGCAUACCGCUUGGCAAUUGAUUGGCUAAUGGUCUUCUAGGAUCUACAGAUAUAAGUGCCAGAUCUAGGGAAGGCAAUCCACAGUCUCCAGCAGAAAGCACUGAAGCUCCUCAAGUGACCUCUGCAAGAUGUUUCUUGUACACUCCAAUAUUACUCCAAUGGGUUUGGAGUCAAAUCUUCAAGGGCCUUGCAAAAAAAAUCCUCUGCAGAGUAAAAGAACCAACAGUGGAAAGGGACUGAAGAUUCCUACAGGCUGAUUAUGCAUCACCCAGAACAAGGCUCUCUUCUUUUGACCUUCAUGGAUGGUGAGAAAGUGCUUUCUGUUUUGGGUGAUCUAUGUAUCAGAAAUACAUCAAAGGUUUUUAUAAGGGGAAUUGGUUCAGAUUAGAAAUGUAUCAUUUGGGUUUAUACGGGAAAUCAAUCCUAGAAAGUUGUGAAAGCCUUCCAAUGGAUUGAUAAUGUGUCAGAUACAACUGAUUUUCAAUGCAAAGCCAAUUUUACAUUA